GGUUUUAUGGGGUAGUGGUUAGCCCCCGAGAUUUUGGUUCUCGUGACUUGCUCGUGACCCCGGUUCGAAUCUGGGUAAAACCU
rnacentral:tRNA from 1 species